CCUGAGAAACCCAAAAGAUCGAAUGGGGAGAUUCAUCGUCAAUCGCUUUGGCUUCCGUGUGGUUCGCGAUGAUCAGGGCUUCGGCUCUGCGUCACGCAAUCGCUGCGGUCAUGUCCAAGGUGGUCGGCGUGCACUUCUCCCCUAGUAGGACGUCGCGAUUCGUUGGGUGUCGCGGUUUACGAGAUCGUGAGGUAGUCUGACGAAUCUCGUUCACGCGUGUCAUUUGUCAGACCUCUGAUUUUCCAACCGACUGCCCGGCGAUAUAAAACUAUAAUCAAUGGUAUUGGGCCGCAUCGAAUGCGUUUUUGGCUCGUCGGCAGGUAUGUCUCGCUUGGAUUUACGGACCUAGCGCCGUUGCCGAGUGCUUGGCUUAUCGUUCGCCGACGAUGUCCUCGAACUGGCUCUAAAUAUUCUUUAUUGAAUAUACCGAUCGGCGACGCUACUGCUUUGGGUACUUUCAGGAC
rnacentral:rRNA from 1 species